UGUAAUUGCUAUCAUGAAAAA
rnacentral:piRNA from 1 species